rnacentral:misc_RNA from 1 species
GGAAGGAUCAUUAGAGAGUGAAAUGUGAGGUGGAGGGGGAUGUAUCGUGAUAUCAUGGUAUAUAUCAUCCCACCCCCACCUCAUCAUUCAUGCUCCAGCAUAGCUGGACGCACAGUAUAUACACUAUACACCACAUCAUCAUCAUAUCAUAUAACAUCCAACACAAAACAUAACUGUAAACAAUGGAUCUCUUGGCUCCUGCAUCGAUGAAGAACGCAGCAAAGUGCGAAAAGUAAUGCGACACGCAUACCACUGCGAGGCAUCCAGUAUUUGAACGCAAAUGGCGCACAGGGAGGAAUCACUGUGCACGAGCGGUUGAGGGUCGGAUGCAAUAUCACAUCUUGAUGGGUGUGGAUGUGUCCCCGUAUGGGGAUGGAAAGCAUGUGGGGAGGGUGUGUGAUGGAGUGUUCAUCCCGAGGACAAGAGGAGAGAUUCUCAGUAUCAGUUCAGGGUGUGCAUGUGGGGGUGAUAUGCAAAUGUCAUCCCAAGUCACAUAUCCCACCCAGGCUAUACAGCUGACGUUGGAUAGCACAUGAUAUUUGGACAUUCUGUCCAAAUACCAAUCGACCUCAGUCGCUCGGGACUACCCGCUGAACUUAAGCAUAUCAGUAAGCGGAGGAAAAGAAACUAACAAGGAUUCCCCCAGUAACGGCGAGUGAAGCGGGACCAGCUCAAAUUUGAAAUCAGCCGUGAGGUUGAAUUGUAGUCUAUAGGGGGGGGGAUGAGGUGAUAGAUAUUCCACGUGCAAGUGCUCUGGAAGGGGCCACCACAGAGGGUGACAGUCCCGUUGCACGUGGUGAUAUAUCCCUCAACACCCUACCGAGGAGUCGGGUUGCUUGGGAUUGCAGCUCAAAAGGGGUGGUAAACUCCAUCCAAGGCUAAAUAGCGGCAGGAGACCGAUAGCGAACAAGUACCGUGAGGGAAAGAUGAAAAGCACCUUGAAAAGGGAGUGAAACAGCGCGUGAAAUUGUUGCCAGGGAAGCGAGUAGUAUGGGGGAGGGAUGGGUGUUGGGGGGUGGGAUGAGGGUGUGUGUGAGCAGAGAUGCCGCAUGCAUCCAUCCAUUCCAUCCACCAUGCCAUGCCGGUGGGGGUGCUUGCGGGGGGUGUAGAAUGCCUUGGGAUGGUUGGAUGACAUUUGUUGUCCAUGCCCGGGGAGACAUAUCCUUUGCGAGCGUGAUUUGUGGAAAUGGGGGGAUACUGAUUGUGCAUCCAGUGCCAUGUGACUGCGUGCAGACACGUGGUAUGACAAUGUGCACAAUAUCCCCACCACCACAAAUCCCCACCACAACCCACGCUACACGUCCCGUCUUGAAACACGGACCAAGGAGUCUAACAUGCGUGCGAGUGUUUGGGUGGCAAGCCCGGGCGCAAAGAGAAAUCGAUAUGUGGGACAUGAUGUCAAAUCAUCGCACCACAGAGGGAGGGAGGUAUACUCUCAUCUCUCAUAGCACCCCGUUGGGACCCGAAAGAUGGUGAACUAUCCCUGGACAGGAUGAAGCCAGGGGAAACUCUGGUGGAGGUCCGCCGCCGUUCUGACGUGCAAAUCGAUGGCCGGAUCUGGGGAUAGGGGCGAAAGACUAAUCGAACCAUCUAGUAGCUGGUUCCCUC